rnacentral:rRNA from 1 species
UACGUAGGGGGCAAGCGUUAUCCGGAAUUAUUGGGCGUAAAGAGUGCGUAGGUGGUUUGGUAAGCGUGAGGUGAAAGGCAAUAGCUUAACUAUUGUAAGCCUUGCGAACUGCCAGACUUGAGUGCAGGAGAGGAAAGUGGAAUUCCUAGUGUAGCGGUGAAAUGCGUAGAUAUUAGGAGGAACACCAGUGGCGAAGGCGACUUUCUGGACUGUAACUGACACUGAGGCACGAAAGCGUGGGGAGCAAACAGG